rnacentral:rRNA from 1 species
GACGAACGCUGGCGGCGUGCUUAACACAUGCAAGUCGAACGAUGACCAGGAGCUUGCUCCUGUGAUUAGUGGCGAACGGGUGAGUAACACGUGAGUAACCUGCCCCUGACUCUGGGAUAAGCGUUGGAAACGACGUCUAAUACUGGAUAUGAUCACUGGCCGCAUGGUCUGGUGGUGGAAAGAUUUUUUGGUUGGGGAUGGACUCGCGGCCUAUCAGCUUGUUGGUGAGGUAAUGGCUCACCAAGGCGACGACGGGUAGCCGGCCUGAGAGGGUGACCGGCCACACUGGGACUGAGACACGGCCCAGACUCCUACGGGAGGCAGCAGUGGGGAAUAUUGCACAAUGGGCGCAAGCCUGAUGCAGCAACGCCGCGUGAGGGAUGACGGCCUUCGGGUUGUAAACCUCUUUUAGUAGGGAAGAAGCGAAAGUGACGGUACCUGCAGAAAAAGCACCGGCUAACUACGUGCCAGCCGCCGCCGUAA